GGUUCGUUGGUCUAGCGGUAUGAUUCUCGCUUAGGGUAACUCCCUGAGUCCAUCAGUUGGCAACAACUGACACACAAAAAUGCGAGAGGUCCCGAGUUUAAUCCCCGGACGAAUCC